GGUUCCAUAGUGUAGCGGUUAUCACGUCUGCUUUACAUGAAGAAGGUCCUGGGUUCGAGCCCCAGUGGAACCA